GUGCUGGAUUACAGGUGAACGUAGCCACCACCGCCCGGCUAUUAAAUGUGGAGGGCACUCCCCCACCUAUAAAAUACAAGUAAAGUUGCUGCGAAUGUUGCGGCUCAAUCUGAACAUUGCAUUACUGUGCGUGUCUGUCUCCGCAUGUAUGUGCGUGUGUCUGUGUGUGUCUCUUCACGUGUCACCGUGGUGCAGGGGGGGCAGGGCGGCUGCCCACAAGCCCCCCUGUGGCGACGCGGCUUGUCGGCGGCCCGGCGGGAGGGGAAGCUCCAGCACCUCGUGCGCUCUCCGCUGGGACCAAUGGCGAGGAGGCCACUCCGAACAUGCACAGCCGCAGCCCCGCGAGUGUCAGGGAGGAGAUGAAGAAUAAGAAAAAGGAUUUCUCCUCGCUGAAAUCAAACAGAACAACACCAGAUGACAUCAUGGCCCUGAAGAAGACCGUCUUGUUGCUCGAGGCUCAAAAGUUAAAGCUGGAGAUCGAAAAAUUGAGGAUAGAGAAAGAUAACCUCGAGAUGAAAUCGGUCAUUUUAAACCAGAAAAUCAGCAAACUGAUAACGUCCGGAAAGCUUUAAACUUGCAACUGAAUCUGAAAUUCGGGACGGAGAGAGAUUCAAAUUCAACUUUGCCAAGCUGCGCUGCCCAACGUACUGCGAUGGCCAGCUUUGGUGUUCAUCGGUGACGCAGCAGAACGGAGUGUGUGCUGCCGGGAAUCUGAUUGGGCACACAUUAACCAGAGUGUGUGCUACUGGGGGAUGUGAUCAGUUACACAGCUUACCGGAGUGUGUGCUGCCAGGGGAUCCGAUCAGUUACACAGCAACCGGUGUGUGUCCUGCUGGGGGAUCUGAUCGGUUACACAGCAUCCAAAGUAUGUGUGCUGCAGGGGGAUCUCAUUGGUUACACAGUAACCAGAGUGUGUGCUGCCAAGGGAUCUGAUUGAUUACACAGCAACCAGAGUGUGUGCUGCGAGGGGUGUUUCCGAUCAGUUACACAGCAAUCGGAGUCUGUGCUGCAGAGAGAUCUGAUUGGUCACACAGCAAUCGAAGUGUGUGCUGCCGGGGGAUCUCAUCGGUUACACAGCAACCGGAGUGUGUGGAGCUGGGGGAUUUAAUUGGUUACACAGCAAUCGGAAUGUGUGCUGCCAGAGGAUUUUGUUGGUUAUGCAGAAACCGGAGUAUUUGCUGCCGGGAGAUCUGAUCAGUUACACAGCAACCGAAGUGUGUGCUGCCAGGGGGGAUCUUGAUCAGUUACACAGCAAUGGAAGUGUGUGCUGCAGGGGGGUCUCAUCGGUUACACAGCAAUCGGAAUGUGCGCUGCCGGAGGAUUUUGUUGGUUAUGCAGAAACCGGAGUGUCUGCUGCCGAGAGAUCUGAUCGGUUAUGCAGCAACCGUAGUGUGUGCUGCCAGGGGGGAUCUUGAUCAGUUGCACAGCAAAUGGCGUGUGUGCUGCCGAGGGAUCUGAUUGAUUACACAGCAACCAGUGUGUGCUGCCAGUAGAGUUUCCGAUCAGUUACACAUCAAUCGGAGUGUGUGCUGCAGGGGGAUCUGAUCGGUUACACAGCAACCGGAGUGUGUGGUGCUGGGGGACCUGAUCGGUUACACAGCAAUCAGAAUGUGCGCUGCCGGAGGAUUUUGUUGGUUACACAGCAACCGGAGUGUGUGCUGCCGAGGGAUCUGAUUGAUUACACAGCAACCAGAGUGUGUGCUGCCAGGGGAAUUUCCGAUCAGUCACACAUCAAUCGGAGUGUGUGCUGCAGGCGGAUCUAAUCGGUCACACAGCAACCCGAGUGUGUACUGCCGUCGGAUCUGAUCGGUUACAUAGCAACCAGAGUGUGUGCUGCCGGGGGAUUUGAUCGAUUACUUAGUAACCAGAGUGUGUGCUGCCGGGCGAUCUGAUUGAUUACACACCUACCGUUCGCGGAAACCCCUUGGCUGAGUUCGUCAAACGCUGCAAAUUAGGGAGUUUAUUUGAAAAGAUGAAAAUUAAAUGAAAAACUCUUCAGAGCCAAGCCUGCAUUUUAAAUGGUCGCCUCACGGUAAAGUUAACCUAAUUGUAUAAAAUUCAUUGCUGUAUUUAAAUAAACUUAAUUAUGAAAUUCA